CUACGGGGGGCUGCAGUGAGGAAUAUUGCACAAUGGGGGAAACCCUGAUGCAGCAACGCCGCGUGGAGGAUGACGCAUUUCGGUGUGUAAACUCCUUUUAUAUGUCAAGAAAAUGACGGUAGCAUAUGAAUAAGCACCGGCUAACUCCGUGCCAGCAGCCGCGGUAAUACGGAGGGUGCAAGCGUUACUCGGAAUCACUGGGCGUAAAGGACGCGUAGGCUGGUUGGUAAGUCAGGUGUGAAAUCCUACAGCUUAACUGUAGAACUGCACUUGAAACUACCAACCUAGAGUAUGGGAGGGGGAGGUGGAAUUAGUGGUGUAGGGGUAAAAUCCGUAGAUAUCACUAGGAAUACCGAAAGCGAAGGCGAUCUCCUGGAACAUAACUGACGCUAAGGCGUGAAAGCGUGGGGAGCAAACAGGAUUAGAUACCCUAGUAGUC
rnacentral:rRNA from 1 species